rnacentral:misc_RNA from 1 species
AGGGUUUUUAUUUUAUACUUUAAACCUUGAAUUUAUUUUUUAAAUGUUUAUAUUAUUUGAAUAAAACAUUCAAAUAAUAUAAAAAAUAAUAUAUAUAUUGACAUGGAUUAAACAAAGAUAUAUAUUAUUUUAUGUUGUAUAAACAAAUUGGCAAAAUAGAGAUGGAAGAUAAAAAUAUGGUCAAAGUAAUAAGAGUCUAUGGUGGAUGCCUAGGAGCUUUAAGGCGAAGAAGGUCGUGGUAAGCUGCGAAAAGCUUGGGGGGAGAAGCAAACAUUUAUUGAUCCCAAGAUU